CACGUAGGGGGCAAGCGUUGUCCGGAUUUAUUGGGCGUAAAGAGCUCGUAGGCGGCUCGGUAAGUCAACUGUGAAAGCUCCGGGCUCAACUCGGAGAGGCCAGUUGAUACUGCCGUGGCUAGAGUCCGGUAGGGGAGCGUGGAAUUCCUGGUGUAGCGGUGAAAUGCGCAGAUAUCAGGAGGAACACCAGCGGCGAAGGCGGCGCUCUGGGCCGGAACUGACGCUGAGGAGCGAAAGCGUGGGUAGCAAACAGG
rnacentral:rRNA from 1 species